rnacentral:misc_RNA from 1 species
AGCAGCCGCGGUAAUUCCAGCUCCAAUAGCGUAUAUUAAAGUUGUUGCAGUUAAAAAGCUCGUAGUUGAAUUUCGGGAUCAAUACGUCGGUCGUGCUUCGGUACGUACUGGCGUAAUUGAUUUCUCCCUUCUGACGAACCAUGAUGUCAUUAACUUGGUGUCAUGGGAAAUCAGGACUGUUACUUUGAAAAAAUUAGAGUGUUUAAAGCAGGCUCACGCUUGAAUACAUUAGCAUGGAAUAAUGAAAUAGGACGUUCGAUCCUAUUUUGUUGGUUUUUAGGAUCAACGUAAUGAUUAAUAGGGAUAGUUGGGGGCAUUAGUAUUCAAUUGUCAGAGGUGAAAUUCUUGGAUUUAUUGAAGACUAACUACUGCGAAAGCAUUUGCCAAGGAUGUUUUCAUUAAUCAAGAACAAAAGUUAGGGGAUCGAAGACGAUCAGAUACCGUCGUAGUCUUAACCAUAAACUAUGCCGACUAGGGAUCGGAUGAUGUUAAUUUUUUAAUGACUCAUUCGGCGCCUUAC